GUGACAGUGUGACAGUCUGGAGAUGAGGCUCCCUCACCUCCCUGGGAGACACCCUCAUUGGGGAAGGGGCAGCAGCAACACACACCCUCCGGACAGACCAGACGACACCAAAGAGGACAGAGAGCAACCGGCUCAGGAGGCCAGGCUGGAGAGGGGCUUGCUGCACACAGCGGAUGUGUCCUCUUGCCAAAGGAACCCUUGCAAGAGCUCAUCUCCUAGCGACUGGUUGCCCGCUCGGCCCUGCUCCUGCCUCCCUCCCCGUGGCCACCGGCCCGGCUCCUGGCAGGCCGGGGUUCAGCCUUCUGUUUACAUCUGGGCAGUCCUGGCCCCCGCGCACAAAGACCCACUGUGCCCAGGUUCACCGACUGUCUUUUGGUUCUCUGUGACCCUUGAUCGAGUUCCCUGGAAGGCGUUCCCGCAGCUUCCCCGCAGCACACUCCCGGGCAUCCCGCCCCGCGCGCCCCCAGCCCCGGCGGCGCCCGUGCAGCCCGCGGGGCCGUGGGAAGCGGGGGGCCGGGAGCCCACUCCGAGGCACAUCCUCUCCAUUUCUCCUCGCCCGCGAGAGUGACCCGUCUGCGGCCGCACAUUGUCGCCGAUUGUGGGAAAGGUUCCGCCAGCCUUUCCGCCGCUCGGGCCGCCCUAAUGAGGGAACAAUCGGGCGCCCCGGAGCUGCCGGCGGGGUCAGGCCCGGCGCCCCAGCCCCUGACAGCGCCAUAAAUUGGCCGCGCAAAGCCGAGCGCUAGGUGGUCCCGGGAGGAAAGAGCCGCCGCCGGGAGCGCGAAAAGGCGAGUCCGGGAGCCCGCCGGGGGGCCGGUGGCGUUCCCUCCAGAUCACCUUGUUGGAACCCAGGAGUAGCAGAGGAGGAGCACCGUGGCAUAAGGAAGAAGAAAACGUAGGUAGCCUCUCCAGGAAGCAAUGUGACCUCACAUUCUUCAUACAGAACCACAGAAUUUGAUAAAUACGCAUGUUGCUGAAAUAAUACAUUAAAAAGAGAAAGACCAAUUCCAAAAACGGAAUGAGGGAUAUUGUCAUUCCAACCUUGUAUUAUAAGCCUGUCAUGUGUUCUAGAAGAAUUGUUCAUGUAGUGAAGGAAUAAUAAGAAAGAAAACACAGCCAAGAGGCCCUGUUGCUGAGUGUUCUUGACAACAGACAACCCCUAAGGAUUCUUGCCUGCAAUCCUGGCUCUGCCAUCAAUUCACCGUAUGCCUUUGGCUACUGGAAAAUUUGAAAUUACACAGGUGCCUGAGAGUCGUGUGAGCCACAGUGUUCUAGAAUGCCUUGAACUAGCAAUUCUAUCACCUCAUUGGCUACAAUCAAACACAUGAACCCACACAAUCCAAAGAAGGCCAGAGAGUGCAAUCCCACAAUGCACCCAGAAGGCAGCAAACUGGAAAUAUUUGGUGAGUAGUCGUAAUAAGUGCCACAGAAAGAGAGAAAGUGAGAGGGAAUGCACAAAUUCUGAAGAGUAGUUUGAGACAAUCUGCAUUAAAUGCAGGAUACUUGCUAUAAGAAAAUUUCCCCCCAAGAUGUAAGUGGCCAGCCUCUAGAGCAACUAAAAAAGUUAUUUGAUGGCCUUGUAACAGCUGAUGGGGAGAAAAAUGUUACAUAUAUUAGGACACUGCAGGCAGAGAAGACAAAGGACCAGCAACAAUUUGAAGAAGGAAAAAGUCAGCACUACUCGCGUACACACACAAGGGCAGACAUUUGCAGAGAUGACAUGUGAACUCACUUUUGAGCUGUUCACUGUGCAAGUCCCCAGGAAGAGAAGCAAUAAGGAUUGGCUGAGCCCUGGAUACUUGUCUCCCAAGGAAAGCUGAGGACUCAGCAACUGUGUGUGUGUGGGUGCAGGUAUGUCCAUACUUACUGGAAAACCUUGAAUUCUGUUCUCCAAAAGCUUUGUCAUCUUCAUCGCCUGGGAAUGGGAUCCCAUGUGAUUUCAAAUUCAUUCUCUUUGCUUGUUUCUGUUGUCAGGUCAUCCUCAACAAACUAAUGAUAUUCAAAAUUACUUGUCAAACUCUUUGCUCAGGACUCAAAGCAAUAUACAGUCAUACUGAUUGCAAUAAGGCAAGACAAGAUAACGUAGUGUGUGUUCUAGAGGCCGGCUGCCUGGGGUCAAAUUGCUAGCUGCACCACCCCUCGCAGUUGCAUAACUGCCCUCUUCCUCCAUCAAUCUAUCUGUAAAAUGGGGAUAAUAUCUGUAUUUAUUUCAUAGGAUUGUGAGCAAAGAUCCAAAUGUGUAAAGAAGUGAACACCCAGCUCGAUUCUGCUACCAAAUUUCAGUUUUCAAAUUUAUAAUAAAAACUAAAAUCAGCCGAGCUGUACUCCACUCUGCAGCUGGUAUUUGGAGAAGCAUUAGCAGAAUUCCCUUCAUCCUUGCUCAUCCUUUCCCUUAAAAGAUCUCCAGUCUGGAAAUGUGAUUUUCCUCCUUACAUCUGCACAAGCCACUGACUUGUCAGGAUUAAAAUACAAAAGACUUUCACAUUUUUGCAUCUUUGUCUCCUGAAUUAGCACUCCACUUCUGAAUUUAAGGAACCAUAGCACCGUUCAGUGUUUUAAGAGUGAGUAAAAUAUAUAAAAAAUAGAAUGGCUUUGACAAGUUAACAUCAAUUUGAAUGAGACCCGAAAAAUGAAAUUCUGUAGAUGAGUGCUUUCAUUUCAAAUGGCUUUACCGGUUUUCAAAUGAUUACACAAUUUUGUCUCAUUCCCUUCAAAUUUACAAAUUAAUAUUUUUAAGAGACGGAGUUAAUAACCAGUUGAGUUAAAACGUAUUAAAAACUAUAAAGGUUUCUUCAAUUGAAGUUCGGAGUUUUGCUAUAUAAAACUGACUUAGAGUUACCAUAAAAAUAGCAAUAUCAUGCAAUACCAUGUUUAUAUUUCGCAGUUCAAUUGCUUUUUAUUUUCAGAGUGUAGGCCACUAAGACAUGCCUGAAUGAAAUUAGCUAGGAGCCAAAUAAUUAAUCCAACAUUCAUCCAAAAUGCUGAACUAACUUACAUAAUUCUUCAAAUGAAUAUCAUACCUUGAUGGUGAUAUACAAAUUGUUUUGAACCUUAGGCUUAAAACGGUAUUCUGAUUAAUCAAAAAGAACACCUUGUAAUUUGUUACAUGUGUAAUGUAGCUACCCAACUCCUUGAAUAUUUUAGCAAAAUACUUGUAAAAUUGCACCACCAAAACCAUACCUCCACCAACCAAGAGUGAAAGAUGGUGCCAACACCAACAGAAGGUAAGAGAAGGAUAAAUUUCAAAAGAUUCUAGCUGUUUCUGUACCCUCCGCACCCUCAAAGUGAAAUCAAGAAUUGAAAGGGAUUUUAGGCUUCAAGUUCAAUUAAAAUAAACACUUUAGACUUAAUUAUUUUACUAUUUAGAGUGAAAAAUAGAAUUUUUUUGCGUCAAGUGUUUUGGUUCUUCGCCUCCUCUUUACUUUUUUGGUAUGUGUGGUCUUAUUUUAAAGUUCCAUUGAGGCAAUACACAUAUGCCAACCAGAAAAUGCAGAUAUUAAGGGAUUUUAUUCAUAACAGGCUAAUUUGUCUCUUGUGAAAGAUAAAAGCACUUUGAAGUUGAUGAGUCUAUGAUUUUAAGUAAAAUCCUCAUUCAAAUGUGAUUGCUUUAUAGGUUUCACUCUGGUCAGAGUAAUUUGUGUUCUUCCUAUAUAUUACUCCAACUAUAAUAAAGCUGUUUAUGCAAAUGUGAAA